CAAUACAGGGCAAUUGUCUUGUAAUUGGAAUGAUGGUGACGUAAAAUCUCACCAGAGUAACAAUUGGAGGGCAAGUCUGGUGCCAGCAGCCGCGGUAAUUCCAGCUCCAAUAGCGUAUAUUAAACUUGUUGCAGUUAAAAAGCUCGUAGUUGAAUUUCUGCGUUGCCCGACUCGGCUACUUGCCUUGUCUGGUUUCGCUUUUGGGGUUUUCCCCUUUUUACUUUGAGAAAAUUAGAGUGUUUCAAGCAGACUUGUGUCUUGAAUACUUCAGCAUGGAAUAAUAAAGUAGGACUUUGGUUCUAUUUUGUUGGUUUGUGAA
rnacentral:rRNA from 1 species